rnacentral:rRNA from 1 species
GCAAGUCGAACGCGAACGAUUUCUCUUUAGAAAUUUAGUAGAGUGGCGCACGGGUGAGUAACGCGUAAGUAAUCUACCUAGGCAUCUGGGAUAACAAUUCGAAAGGAUUGCUAAUACCGGAUACGUUGGAGACAAGAAAGGUGGCCUCUGAUUCAAGCUACUGUGCGGGGAGGAGCUUGCGUACCAUUAGCUAGUUGGUAGGGUAACGGCCUACCAAGGCGACGAUGGUUAGCGGGUCUGAGAGGAUGAUC